rnacentral:lncRNA from 1 species
GUUGCAAUUUAUUUGGAGUGAUUUGGAGCUUCGAAUCAAUUUUGAGGUUCAAGAAUAGAAAAUAGGAAAAAGAAAAGAAAAACAGGCCGAACCGGCCGCACCGGACCGGACCGACCGUCUCCGCCCCGCCCGAGCCGCUGUGCCACUGACCGGUGGGCCCGCGCGUCAUCUUCCUCAACUGCCUCGUCCGUUUUCUCUGGCCACGACCCCGCG